AUUGAACGCUGGCGGCAUGCCUUACACAUGCAAGUCGAACGGUAACACGGACUUCGGUCUGGUGGCGAGUGGCGAACGGGUGAGUAAUACAUCGGAACGUACCCAGUAAUGGGGGAUAACUAGUCGAAAGAUUAGCUAAUACCGCAUACGCCCUACGGGGGAAAGAGGGGGAUCGCAAGACCUCUUGUUAUUGGAGCGGCCGAUGGCUGAUUAGCUAGUUGGUGGGGUAAAGGCCUACCAAGGCGACGAUCAGUAGCGGGUCUUAGAGGACGAGCCGCCACACUGGAACUGAGAUACGGUCCAGACUCCUACGGGAGGCAGCAGUGGGGAAUCUUGGACAAUGGGCGAAAGCCUGAUCCAGCAAUGCCGCGUGCGUGAAGAAGGCCUUCGGGUUGUAAAGCGCUUUUGUCUGGGAGCAAAUCCUUGUGGCUAAUACCCACCGGGGAUGAGAGUACCAGAAGAAUAAGGACCGGCUAACUACGUGCCAGCCGCCGCCGUAAAAC
rnacentral:rRNA from 1 species